GCUAACCAUAUAUGCAAAUAGCUUCACUGGAGUAUAGAGAGAUCCUGAAAGAAAGUUUUGGUAAGCACAUUCUUUUACACGUAGUUUAGCAAGGACAGUAUCCACCAUAGUACUCUAUAUGGAGAUCUAAAGCUUUAAUUUACUGCCUCUUUGCCACUUUUCAUGACAUACAGAAAGCUUCCUGAGAAUUAGCCUUUGUUUCUGAUUUAAAGGAAUACUGUAGUAUUUUGUGGUGGUGUGUUUUCUUUGUUUUUAAGUAUCUAUUCUAUGUUAUAUAUUUCCCAUGAGUAGUUCAUAUGUUCAGUGGCAGUUUCAAUGCUGAUUGUGUAGAAACAUCAAACUUUUUAUAAGUUAAAACUAUACAAACAUUUUAAAAAAUUUUUAAAUGUUUAUUCAUUUUUUGAGAGAGAGAGAGAGAGUGAGAGCAUGAGUGGAGGAGGGGCAGAGAGAGAGCGAGCGAGACACAGAAUCUGAAGCAAGCUCCAAGCUCUGAGCUGUCAACACAGAGCCCGACAUGGGGCUCGAACUCACGAACUGUGAGAUCAUCGAAGUCAGACGCUUAACCAACCGAACCACCUAGGUGUCCUGGGAUACACACUGAUCUUGAGAAAAGAAUGGGAAACUUCAGGGAGAUCCUUAUUGCUGAGAUAAAAGAGAGAAAAAAGGAAACAAAAAUGAAAAAUGCCAUAACUGAGAUUAGAACCAGGCUUGCUGCAAUGAACACAAAGCCAGAAGAAGUAGAGGAAGGAAUAAGUGACACAGAAGACAAAAUAGUAGAAAAUAAUGAAACUGAACAAAAGAGAAAAAAGAAUUAUGGAACUGAGAAUAGACUUAGGGAACUCAGUGGCUACAUCAAAUGUAGUAACAUUCAUAUUAUAGGAAUCCCAGAAGAAGUGAGGGAAAAGGGGCAGAAAAUUUAUUUGAGGAAAUAGUAGCUAAGAACUUACCUAAUUUGGGGAAGGAAACAGACAUCAAGAUCUAGGAGGCACAGAGAACUCCUGUCAAAAUCAAGAAAAAUAGGCCAACACUAAGACAUAUUGUGAGUGAAUUAGCAAAAUAUAGUGAUAAAGAAACAAAAUCUUAAGAGACAAGACAAAAGAAGUCCUUAACUUACAAGGGAAGACCCAUAAGGCUAGCUGCAGAUUUCUCAGCAGAAACUUGGCAGUCCAGAAGGGAGUGGCAUGCUAUAUUCGAAGUACUGAAUGUGAAAAAUCUGUAGCCAAGAAAGAAUACUCUAUCCAGCAAGGCUAUCAUUCAGAAUAGAAGGAGAGAUAAAGAGUUUCCCUGACAAAAGCUAAAGGAGUUCAUGACCACUAAACCAGCCCUGGAAGAAAUAUUAAAGGAGAUUCUUUCAGUGGAAAGUUAAGACCAGGGACACCUGGGUCACUCAUUCAGUUAAGUUUCUGACUUUGGCUCAGGUCAUGAUCUCACAGUUUAUGAGUUUGAGCCCUGCAUUAGACUCUCUGCUGUCAGUGCAGAGCCCUCUUUGGAUCCUCUGUCCCCCGUUCCCUCUCUGCCCCUCCCCUGGUCAUGUGUGCAUGCUUUCUCUCCCUCCUCCCCCCUCAAAAAUACAUAAACGUUGAAGAAAGACAAAAACAAAAGUCACAAAGACAAGAAAGGAACUGAGCAAAUCUCCAGGAACAACAAAACAAAUAAUAAAAUGGUACUGAAUACAUAUCUAUCAAUAAUUACUGUGAGUGCAAAUGGAGUAAGUGCUCCAAUCAAAAGAUACAGGGUGUCAAUGGAUUAAAAAAAACAAUAUCCAUCUAUAUGCUGUCUACAAGAGACCCAUUUUAGACCUAAAGACACUUCAGAUUGGAAGUGAGGGGAUGGAGAAACAUUUAUCACAAAUGGAUGUCAAAAGAAAGCCAGAGUAGCAAUACUUAUAUUGGACAAACUGUACUUUAAACCAAAGACUGUACCAAGAGAUGAAGAAGGGCACUAUAUCAUAAUAAAGGGGACAAAUACACCAAGAAGAUCCAGCAAUUGUAAAUAUUUAUGUACCCAACAUGCAAGCCCCCAGAUAUAUAAGACAAUUAAAAAUAAACAUAAAGGAACUUAUUGAUAGUAAUACAGUAAUAGUAGGGGACUUUAACACCCCACUUAUAUCAGUGGACGGAUCACCUAAGCAGAAAAUCAACAAGGAAACAGUGGCUUUGAAUGACACACUGGACCAGAUGGACUUAACAGAUAUAUUCAGAAUAUUCCAUCCUAAAGCAGCAGAAUGCACAUUCUUUUCAAGUGCACAUGGGACAUUGUCCAGAAUAGAUCACAUACUAGAUCACAAAUCAGCCUUCAACAAGUACAAAGAGAUUGAGAUCAUUUCAUGCAUAGUUUCUGACCACAAUGCUAUGAAACUUGAAGUCAACCAUAAAAAAAAUUUUUUUUUUGGAAAGAUCACAAAUACAUGGAGGUUAAACAACAUGCUACUAAAGAAUGAAUGGGUCAACCAGGAAAUCAAAUAAAUUAAAAAAUAUGUGGAAACAAGUGAAAAUGAAAAUACAAUGGUCCAAAACCUUUGGGAUGCAGCAAAAGUGGUCCUAAGAGGGACCUUAAGAAGCAAGAGAUAUCUCAACAACCUAACCUUACACCUAAUGGAUCUAAAAAAAGAACAACAAACAAAGCCUAAAGCCAGCAGGAGAAGGGAAAUAAUAAAGAUUAGAGAAGAAAUAAAUGAUAUAGAAACUAAAAAAAAAAUGGGUGAAACCAGGAACUGGUUCUUAGAAAAAAUUAAUAAAAUUGAUAAAUUCCUAGCCAGACUUGUCAAAAAGAAAAGAGAAAGGACCCACAUAAAGUCACAAAUGAGAAAGGACAAAUAACAACCAACACCACUGAAGUAGAAACAAUUAUAGGAGAAUAUUAUGAAAAACUAUGCCAACAAAUUGGACAACCUGGAAGAAAUGGAUAAAUUCCUAGAAACAUAUAAACUACCAAGACUGAAACAGAAAAAAAUGGUAAACUUGAAUAGAUCACUAACCAGCAAAAAUUUCCCAACAAACAAAACUCCAGGGGGUCAGAUGGCUUCAAAGGUGAAUUCCACCAAACAAUGAAAGAAGAGUUAACACCUAUUGUUAAACUAUUCCAAAGAAAAUAGAAAACCAAGGAAAACUUCUAAAUUCAUUGAAUGAGGCCAGCGUUACCCUGAUAUCAAAACCAGAAGACUCCACUAAAAUAGAAAACUAUAGGUCAGUAUCCCUGAUGAACAUGGAUACAAAAAUUCUCAAUAAAAUACUAACAAAAUCCAAUAGUAUAUUAAUCAUUAUGUACAGUAAUGUACUCUAGUACAUUAAUCAUUAAUUAGAAUCAUCCACCAGGAUCAAGCGGGAUUUAUUCCUGGUCUGCAAGUGUGGUUCAGUAUUCAUAAAUCAAUCGAUGUGAUACACCACAUUAAUAAAAGAGAGGAUAAGAACCAUAUGAUCCUUUCAAUAGAUGCAGAAAAAGCAUUUGAAAAAGUACAAUAUCCAUUCAUGAUAACAACCCUCAACAAAGUAGAUUUCAAGGGAACAUACUUCAACAUAAUAAAGGCCGUAUAGAAAAAACCCACAGCUAAUAUCAUCCUCAAUGGGGAACAACUAUAAGCUUUUCCCUAUGGUCAGGAACAAGACAGGGAUGUCCACUUUCACCACUGUUAUUUAACAUAGUACUGAAAGUACUAGACUCAGCAAUAGACAACAAAAAGAAAUAAAAGACAUCCAAAUCAUUUGCAAGGCAGAAGUCAAACUUUCACUGUUUUCAGAUGACAUGAUAGUCUAUAUAGAAAACCUGAAAGAUAUCACCAAAAAAGUGCUAGAACUCAUACACAAAUUCAGUAAACUUGCAGGGUACAAAAUCGACAUACAGAAAUCUGUUGCAUUUUUAUACACCAGUAAUGAAGCAGCAGAAGGAGAAAUGAGGGAAUCGAUCCCAUUUACAAUUGCCCCCAAACCCAUAAGAUAUGUAGGAGUAAACCUAACCAAAGAGGUAAAAGGCUUGUACUCUGAAAACUAUAAAAUACCAAUGAAAGAAAUUGAAGAUGGCACAUAUAAGAAAUGGAAAAACAGUCCAUGUUCGUGGAUUGGAAGAAAAAAUAUUGUUAAAAUGUCUAUAUUACCCACAGCAACCUACACAUCUAAUGCAAUCCUAUCAAACUACCAACAACAUUUUUCACAGAGCUAGAACAAACAAUCCUAAAAUUUGUAUGGAACUACAAGAGAUACCAAAUAGCCAACACAAUCUUGAAAAAGAAAAGCAAAGCUGGAGGCACCACAAUUCUGGACUUCAAGUUAUAUUACAAAGGUGAAGAGAUCAAGAGUAUGGUACUGGCACAAAAACAGAUGUCUAGAUCAAUGGAACAGGAUAGAAAACCCAGAAAUGAACCAACAACUAUAUGGGCAAUUGAUCUUCAACAGAGCAAGAAAAACUAUCUAAUGGAAGAAGUUCUCUUCAACAAAGAGUUUUGGGAAAACUGGACAGCCACAUGCAAAAGAAUGAAACUGGAUCAUUUUCUUACACCAUACACAAAAAUAAAUUUCAAAUGGAUUAAAGACCUGAUUGUGAGACAGGAAACCAUUAAAAUCGUAGAGAACACAGCCAGUAACCUCUUUCAUAUGGGCUGUAGCAGCUUCUUACUAUAUAUGUCUUUUCAGGCAAUGGAAACAAAAGUAAAAAUACACUAUGAGGACUACCUCAAAAUAAAAACCUUCUGUACAAUGAAGAAAACAAUUUACAAAGCUAAAAGACAACCUAUGGAUUGGUUUCUUUUUCUUUCUUUCUUUCUUUCUUUCUUUUUUUCUUUCUUUCUUUCUUUCUUUCUUUCUUUCUUUCUUUCUUUCUUUCUUCUAGGAUAUUUGCAAAUGAUAUAUCUGAUAAAGGGUUAGUACCCAAAAUAUAUAAAGAACUUCUAAAACCCUACAUCAAAAACCAAAUAAUACAAUUAAAAAAUGGACAGAAAACAUGAAUAGACAUUUUUCCAAAAAAGCACAUCCAGAUGGCCAACAGACACAUGAAAAGAUGCUCAACAUCACUCAUUAACAGGGAAAUGAAAAUUAAAACUACAGUGAGAUAUCACUUCACACCUGUCAGAAUGGCUAAAGUUAACAACACAAGGAACAGGAGGUGUUGGUAAGAAUGUGGAGAAGGGGGAACUGUCUUAGGCUGUUGGUGGGAAUGCAAACUGGUGCAGCCACUGUGGACAACAGUAUGGAGGUUCCUCAAAAGUUAAAAAUAGAACUAUUGAUCCAGCAAUUGCACUACCAGGUAUUUACCCAAAGAACACAAAAAUACUCAUUCAAAGGGAUACAUGCACCCGUGUUUAUAGCAGUGUUAUCUACAGUAGGCAAAUUAUGGAAAGAGCCCAAAUGUUCUUUGAUGAAUGAAUAAAAAAGAAGUGGUAUGUAUACGUCUAUACACACAACAGAAUAUUACUCAGCCAUGAAAAAUGAAAUCUUGUCAUUUGUAAUGAUGUGAAUGGAGCUACAGAGUAUAAUGCUAGCCAAAUAAGUCAGAGAAAGAAACAUAUCAUCUGAUUUCACUCAUAUGUGGAAUUUAAGAAACAUACCAAAGAAACAUAGGGGGGAAAAAGAGAGGCAAAUCAAGAAGCAGACUCUUAACUAUAGAGAAAAAACUGAUGGUUACCAGAAGGGAGAUGGGUCAGGGGAUGAGAUAAAUACAUGGUGGAGAUUAAGGAGUGCAUUUGUUGUAAUGAGCAUUGGGUAUUAUAUGUAUGUGUUUAAUCACUAAAUUGUAUACCUAAAGCUAAUAUUACACUGUAUGUUAAGUAACUAAAAUUUAAAUACCAAGAAAAAAAAAAAAGGAAAGGCACCCAAAUUGGUAAGGAAGAAGUAGAACUUUUACUGUUUGCAAGUGAUUUGAUACCAUAUAUAGAAAAUCUUAAAGACUCCACCAAAAAACUACUAGAACUAAUAAAUGAAUUCUGUGAAGUCACAGGAUACAAAAUUAAUAUACAGAAAUCUGUUGCAUUUCUUUACACUAAUAGUGAAGUAGCAGAUAGAGAAAUUAAGAAAACAAUCCCACUUACAGUUGCACCAAAAAUAAUAAAUUAGGAAUAAGCUUAACCAAGAAGAUGAAAGAUCUGUACUGUGAAAACUAUAAAACAUCAGUGAAAGAAAUUGAGGAUGAUGCAAGUGGAACGAUAUUCCAUGCUAAUGGAUUGGAAGAAUUAAUAUUGUUAAAAUGUCCAUACUAACCAAAACAAUCUACAGAUUGAAUGAAUGCAAGUCCUAUCAAAUACCAACAGCAUUUUUCACAGAACUAGAAUAAUAAUCCUAAAAAUUGUAUAGUACCACAAAAGACAUUGAAUAGCCAAUAGAAUCUUGAGAAAGACGAAUAAAGCUAGAAAUAUCACAACCCCAGAUUUCAAGACCUACUACGAAGCUGUAGUAAUCGAAAUGGUAUGGUAUUUUAAAAAAAUAAACACAUAAAUCCAUGUAACAGUCUAUGUGAAAGGAGGAAAGAAUAUAUAAUUGGAAAAAGAGAGUCUCUUCAACAAAUGGUGCUGAGAAAACUGGAGAACAAUAUGCAAAAGAAUAUAACUGGACCACUUUCUUAGAGCACACACACAAAUAAAACUCAAAAUGAGUUAAAGACCUAAAUGUGAUGUCUAAAAUCAAACUCCUAAAAGAACAAUAGGCAGUAUUUUUUUGACAUCAGCUAUAGAAACAUUUUGCUAGAUAUGUCUCAUCAGGCAAGAGAAACAAAAGCAAAAUUAAAGUAUUGGGACUACACCAAAAUAAAAACUUUUGCACAACGAAGGAAACCAUCAACAAAACAAGACAACUGACUGAAUAAAGAGGAUAUUUACAAGUGAUAUAUCCAAUAGUGGGUUAAUAUCCAAAAAAAUACAAAGAAUUUCUACAACUGAACAUCAUUACAGAUGGGCAUAGGAUCUGAAUAGACACUUUAAAAAAAUUGUUUCAGUGUUUAUUUUUUGAGAGAGAGAUAGAGCAUGAGUAGGGGAGGGGCAGAGAGAGAGGGAGACACAGAGUCUGAAGCAAGCUCCAGGCUCUGAGCUGUCAGCACAGAGCCUGACACGGGGCUUGAACUCACAGACUGCAAGAUCAUGAUAAAGCCGAAGUUGGAUGCCUAACCAACUGAGCCACCCAGGGAACCCCUGAAUAGUUACUUUUCAAAAGAAGACAUACAGAUGGCUAACAGACACAGAAGAUGUUCAACAUCACUCAUCAUCAGGGAAAUGCAAAUCACAACCACAGUGGUACAUCACCUCAUGCCAGUCAGAAUGGCUAAAGUCAAAGACCAGAAAUUACAUGUUGGUGAAGAUGUGGAAAAACAGGAACCCUAGUGGUGGGAAUGUAUAUUGAUGCAGCUACUGUGUCAAACAAUAUGGAGUUUCUGCAAAAAACUAAAACAGACUUACCAUAUGAUCCAGUAACUCCACUACUGGGUAUUUACCCAGAGAAGAUGAAAACACUAAUUUAAAAAAGCAUAUGUACUAUGUUUAUUGCAGGAUUAUUUGUAAUAGCCAAGAUAUGGAAUUAGCCCAAGUGUCCAUGGAUAGAUGAAAGGAUAAAGAUGAUGUAGUAUAUAUCUAUAAUGGAAUAUUACUUAGUUACAAAAAGGGAAUGAGGUCUUGCCAUUUGCAACAGCAUGGAUGGACACAGGGAUUAUAUGCUAAAUGAAAUAAUUCAGAGAAAGACAAAUACUAUAUG